rnacentral:rRNA from 1 species
GAUGAACGCUAGCGGCAGGCUUAAUACAUGCAAGUUGAGGGGCAGCAUGAUAUACGCGAGUAUAUUGAUGGCGACCGGCGGACGGGUGAGUAAUAGGUAGGAGACCUACCUCAUACAGGGGGAUAGCAUAGAGAAAUCUGUGGUAAUACCCCAUGAGGUUAUAUGAAUAGAGGCAUAUAAUCAAAGCAUAAGCGAUUAUGCGGUAUGAGAGGGGCCUACUGACCAUUAGCUAGUUGGUGAGGUAAGGGCUCACCAAGGCGAAGAUGGUUAGGGGUUUUGAGAGAGAGACCCCCCACAUUGGAACUGAGAGACGGUCCAGACUCCUACGGGAGGCAGCAGUAGGGAAUAUUGGGCAAUGGGCGAAAGCCUGACCCAGCCAUGCCGCGUGAAGGAAGACGGCCUUAGGGUUGUAAACUUCUUUACUACGCGAAUAGAGGUUAGUACGAGAUACUAAUAGGAAGGUAGUGUAGUAAAAGCACCGGCUAACUCCGUGCC